rnacentral:rRNA from 1 species
CCUGGCUCAGAUUGAACGCUGGCGGCAGGCCUAACACAUGCAAGUCGAGCGGAUGACAGGAGCUUGCUCCUGAAUUCAGCGGCGGACGGGUGAGUAAUGCCUAGGAAUCUGCCUGGUAGUGGGGGACAACGUUUCGAAAGGAACGCUAAUACCGCAUACGUCCUACGGGAGAAAGCAGGGGACCUUCGGGCCUUGCGCUAUCAGAUGAGCCUAGGUCGGAUUAGCUAGUUGGUGAGGUAAUGGCUCACCAAGGCGACGAUCCGUAACUGGUCUGAGAGGAUGAUCAGUCACACUGGAACUGAGACACGGUCCAGACUCCUACGGGAGGCAGCAGUGGGGAAUAUUGGACAAUGGGCGAAAGCCUGAUCCAGCCAUGCCGCGUGUGUGAAGAAGGUCUUCGGAUUGUAAAGCACUUUAAGUUGGGAGGAAGGGCAGUAACUUAAUACGUUGCCGUCUUGACGUUACCGACAGAAUAAGCACCGGCUAA